rnacentral:rRNA from 1 species
UACGAAGGGGGCUAGCGUUGCUCGGAAUUACUGGGCGUAAAGGUGCGUAGGCGGGUCUUUAAGUCAGAGGUGAAAUCCUGGAGCUCAACUCCAGAACUGCCUUUGAUACUGAGGAUCUUGAGUUCGGGAGAGGUGAGUGGAACUGCGAGUGUAGAGGUGAAAUUCGUAGAUAUUCGCAAGAACACCAGUGGCGAAGGCGGCUCACUGGCCCGAUACUGACGCUGAGGCACGAAAGCGUGGGAGCAAACAG